rnacentral:rRNA from 1 species
CCAGCAGCUGCGGUAAGUCCGGCUCCAAUAGCGUAUAUUUAAGUUGUUGCAGUUAAAAAGCUCGUAGUUGGAUUUCGGGCGGGUGACGGCGGUCCGCCUCUGGUGUGCACUGCUGCUCAUCCGCCUUACUGUCGGGGAUGGGCUCCUGGGCUUCACUGUCCGGGACCCGGGUUCGACAUGGUUACUUUGAGUAAAUUAGAGUGUUCAAAGCAGACGUUCGCCCUGAAUACAUUAGCAUGGAAUAGCACGAUAGGACUCUGGCCUAUUCUGCUGGUAUGUAGGACCGGAGUAAUGAUUAACAGGGACAGUCGGGGGCAUUCGUAUUUCAUUGUCAGAGGUGAAAUUCUUGGAUUUAUGAAAGACGAACUUCUGCUAAAGCAUUUGCCAAGGAUGUUUUCAUUGAUCAAGAACGAAAGU